CGGAAGUUCCGCCUCGUUAUCCGCGCGUGCGCAGUUUCCUGCGGAAGCGGAAAGCGGACAGAGAAGGUCGCCGCACGGCCUUUGCUUGUUUUUUUUCCUAGAGUAACCCUAAGCGCCUGCCUUCGCCACGCCCAUCUUCAGGGUCCGGCUGGUUCUGCGGCAGUAAUAUCCCAAUACCCCGAACUCCGCCCUAAAUAAACCCAGAGGCCGCCGUUUAGGUCAAGUAUUCGAAAUCGCUGUGAGGCUUGUCCUUGCCGUUUGGUUUUCGCCUUUGGCCCCGGAGACGCCGCCUUCCGGGAUAUUUUCAUGCUUAAAACUUAACCGUUAGUACCUGCGCCUGUGCCUUGUCAAGUCCCCGGGCGCGAGGGGGAUUCGGGCACGCCCACCUCCACCGCCUCACCCUGUCGACCCCUGGAGGUCGCGUCGACAGUUCCACUCCCGGAGAAGCCGAUUCCUCUCCCCGGUCCUGGGAUUCCGGAGAGCCCGCCCGACCCCUGAGACCCCCUCGCUUCCAGCCUCUCUGCCCUCGCGUCUCCUCAGGCCGAUCGUUCUGCCCCGCAGGCCUCCCUUCCUGACUGCUGCUGCUGCUGCUGCUGCUAAGUCGCUUCAGUCGUGUCGGACUCUGUGCGACCCCAUAGACGGCAGCCCAUCAGGCUCCCCCGUCCCUGGGAUUCUCCAGGCAAGAACACUGGAGUGGGUUGCCAUUUCCUUCUCCAAUGCAUGAAAGUGAAAAGUGAAAGUGAAGUCACUCAGUCGUGUCUGACUCUUCGAGACCCCAUGGACUGCAGCCCACCAGGCUAUGCCGUCCAUGGGAUUUUCCAGGCAAGAGUACUAGAGUGGGGUGCCAUCACCUUCUCCGAACAGACUGCUAGUGGGUAUAUAACAUCCACCUGAAGACUAGCAGGGGGGUACUCUUUCUGUCCCCUUCUGAUGCCUAUGUCAGAGGCUUUCUCUAUCUCCUUUAUACUUUAAUAAAACCUUAUUACACAAA
ensembl:lncRNA